GUUCUCUCUGGCAGCACGUAUCCUAAGAUUGGAACAAUACAGAGAAGUUUAGCAUGGCCCCUGCACAGGGAUGCGCGUAAAUGGCAAAAGGAACAUUGUAGAUAU